CUGAAAAUGGACUGUUCCCCAGGACCACUGAUUGUACUACUAUUCUUAAUGUUUGGAGGAAGCAAUGGAGACUCAGUGACCCAGACGGUGGGUCAGAUGACUCUCCCUGAAGGACCUCGCCUGACCAUAAACUGUUCCUAUGAAACCACAGGCUUCCCUUUCCUGUUCUGGUAUAUCCAGUACCCUGGAAAAGCUCCACAGCUCUUCUUGAAAGCCACAAAGGACAAGGAAAAGGGAAGCAACAAAGGCUUUGAAGCCACAUAUGACAGAGAAACCGGCUCCUUCCACUUGAAGAAAGCCUCAGUGCAGGCGUCAGACUCGGCUGUGUACUACUGUGCUCUGAGUGACACAGUGGCAGGAACUGCAGGGGGAGCUGAGCACAAACUCUAAGCCCUGACAAGGGGCCUGACUUCUGGGUGUUUGCUUGUGAGGUUAUUCUAGUUUAGGGACCAGGCACUAAUCUAAUAUUGUUGUCAUCUACCAACCACUCCAGGGACUGUUGUGUCACCCAAAUCAAAACUAAAGCCACUGCAGAGGAACAAGAGGCAGAUGUGCCUCUAUCCUUCCAUGGCGAGAGUGAAAAAGCCUUUCACAAUAGCUCCUCAGUCAUGCUGGGAAUUUGUGAUUUUAAAAGCAUAAAACCAGAGGCUGGGAUAUAAAUCAGUGGUAUAAGCACCUGCCUGACAAGCACACAGUC